UCUACAAGUUCUUUAUAUCCUUGCGCUUAAGAGCCUUGUUUGUCCCUUCGGGGACAUCCGAUAAAAUUGGAACGAUACAGAGAAGAUUAGCAUGGCCCCUGCGCAAGGAUGACACGCAUAAAUCGAGAAAUGGUCCAAAUUUUUUUGCUCUUUUUUCUGCCAAAUUUUUGUGCCCUUUGAAGUCUUCGAUGGUUCGGUGGCUUCGUCUUUGAUCUUCCAGCUAGCUAUGAUUUUAAUGAAGACAAAAUAAGUUGGAAUGUUUGUCAAGUGGAAAAUGGGACGGUUUAAUUUGAUGGUUGCAAAGCAAAUUUGAAAUUGACAAUUACUUGACAGAGACUGCAGUUUGAAGACAGACGGAUAGGCAAGAAAUCAUGGCAGGAAGGAGAUUUCCAGGGGAAUCGUAGGAAGGUGGCCGGCAGCACUGGGUGGAGGUGUCGGGUAUGUGCCGGUUUGUGCAAGACCAUCGCGGUGAAACAAACUUACCUGGUUCUGUACAAGUAUAUCCAAUAAAUACAAGGCGGUAAAAAUCCCCUUAACUACGUAUUUCUAUCACAAAGAGUUAUUGCUGUAGACUGGAAAAUGUACUUUUAUUUUUAUUUUUUAUUUUUUAUCAGGAACAAAAACAAAAUUUAGACUUCAAUUUCUUACCACUAAACAAGUCAGCGGAAAUAACCACUAAGCAGGUUAUAUCAAGAAUAAAUUAAAACUCGUCAAAAUCAGAAAAGAUCCCAUAAAACACACAAUAAUCACAAUCGGGCAAACUCUGCUAUGCUUUUCUCAAAAAUACAGAUGCGAAGAUCAGUCAUCUCUCCGGGAACCAUUUCCAUGAAAACAAGUAGAAGCAAGUGACUUUUAAUGAUAAAGGCAAUGCCUAAAAAAUAAGGAAAGAUAAUAUAACUCUGACCCAUUUAAAGCCUGGUAGAUGAUAAUAUCCCUGAUUUCCAUGACUGGACAGAACAAAGAGUUUAUUAAAAUCUUAUAAUGGAGAAUACACUGACCCUCAAACUACAGAAUUUCAAAGGAUAUGUAAAAUCUAUUUCCUGACAUGUAGAAGAAACAGAUGUCUUAAUCAGGUUUCAGAUGCUACACGGACAAGUAACGCAUUUCUGAAUAUAAGCAGCAUCCCACCAGAAAGGUUUCUAAUAACACAAUUUCAGUACAACGCUAGCAUUGUGCCUGAAAGCUCCCCACACACCCUACUUCCUGACGAAAAUAGAGACUUACUACCAAUAAAUUGAGCACCGCAAGAUAUAUAAGAGUGACUAAUAUAAACUCAAACUCAUGGGUUUGAGAUGAUCUCACAAAGGAUUAAAGCCAAUAAAACUCACAAGGUUGGGCAAAAAGCCUCCUCAAUGACAACUCAUGCUGAAGAAAAAGAAAUGCCUGGUAUAUAAAGAAUGAACAAAUAGCAUCUUGGUACUCAGUUCCUUCCACAUGAGGUCCAUGGCUCUCCUAAGUAUUUUCGAAAACGUACUUGAACCCUCCUUGGUCCAAGGUAAGGUAGAAAACCAUCCAGCAUUAAAGGUUCAACACAUACUUGAACCAUGCAGAACAACUUAAAUUCCUUUUCAAGAUGAUAGAUUUGAUUAAAAUAAAUCCAAUAAGAAACCCAAGCCAAAACCAAGUAUAUGAAGGAUGAAAUAUGAAUAGCUACUGCAUCCCUUUUUAAAAUCCAAUCUACGUAAUAACACUUAUUCAUCACACCAUGACCUUUGUCUGGGUUACUACGUUGGCUUUAUGGCUGAAAAGCUCAAAAAUAAAAACACAGAGGCAAGAAAGUGUAAAUUCUAACAAUUCAUCAACUCCACGUCUCAACCCUUGAUUUUCUAAUACAAAAAAUAGGCGCUAAAAUUUAGCAAAAGUAUGGAGUGACAAUACAGCGAAAACUUCACUUUCAUGAUACCAACGAAAUUUAUGCAUGUAAAAACAUCUAUCACAUGUCAAUGAUAGGUAGCAAAAAUAAAUGCUUGAUUAUAUCAAAUUGGCAUUCACAUUCUUUUGCAUCUCUCAAGGGUAUUCAAUUGAAGCAUAACUAACCCUUAAUGGAAAACAUGCCAAACAUGUUAAAGAGCCAGUGCUGAGAUACAAAAAGACAUGUGGUGAAACCUAAAGAUCCCCAAAGUAUCAAACAAGUUUUAGAAGAUGAGACUACAACAUAAUCCAAGAAAAUAAACCAAAUGAAUAUUCAUUUAAAAGGGUCAACCAACCUCCUUAAUUUUAUUAUGUCACUGAGACUGCGUUCAUAAUACAGUAUUAAUAAAAACCUUUGACUACAGUGUUAUUUAGCAACCCAAAUACUUCUAAAACUUCAGAGAAAAUUUUCAAUCGGUGUCCUCCACACAUUUGUAUUCUUAAGGUGAUUUGUAGAAACGCAUGGCAAUCACAACUCCUGGCUCCAAUGCCAUGAUUCAGCACUUUAACCAUCCCCGCUUAUGCUCUAUACGACACAAUUAUAUGAAAAAUAAAAAUACUAAUGCACUCAAUAGUUCGAGAAUGUUUAGUUUAGGAACUGACACUAGAGCUUAUACACAAUAACAAGAACAUUACACAGCCCCACCCUAAAGCAUACCCCCAGUAGCCGUCCAUGUAAAUAGUCACAUCAUUUAAUAGAACUUUUUUUACACAUCGAGCAUCAUUCUAACCAAAAACUAUAACAAAUUUGUACCAUUUAUGGUCUUCAACACAGACCAAUAGUCAACACUGUAAAUCUGUAAGCAUAACAAAAUGGUUCCAGUCCAGGUGCCCAUUUAUGCACAUAGAUAACAUCCAAGUCAUAGAAUUUCCACAAAUGUAUCUAUCCUAUUCCUACCAUUUAGCUACUGAUACCACUAGAUAAUUGAAAUUAUAAACACAAAAACUGUAAUUAGAGGCAAGAAAAAAAUGAACUAUUUGAAAACAUUAAUCAGUUAAACAUUCAAGCAAUUAAAACAGCUAAAUUAUGAAGUGAUCAAGCGUCACAUGAAAAGCCCAAUAAAACAUCCCCAAACCCUUAUUUCAACUACAUAUCAUAUCAACAACCGAAAACCCAUUUCAACUCAAAAAAGAAGGAUCGAUCUGAGAACGAACGAACCGGCAUACCCAGAUCGAAUUUCAGUCAGAUUCAGACGACCCAGCAACAGAAAGGCCGGCCUGCUCGAUCUCGAGCCGUUCGAGGGCUUUCUGGUGGGCCCAGGUCUCGAUGGUGAGAUCGGGCUUAGCGUUGAGGCCGACGCCAAGGAUAACGAUGGUGAGGAAGCUGGUGACGUAGCAAGGGAGCUCCCAGUCCUCCCAUUUUCGAGUCUGGCCUGGGGACAGCGGGGUCCGGUUGAAGAGGUAACCUUUGGGUUGCUCCUCGUGGCCCGGGCUGGUCCACCGGCUCGGACCUGUGGCUGAACCGCCGCGAGUUCGGAGAGUCUGGAUGAGGCGCUGGCGGAGCAUUGUGGAGGCGGGUAUGGUAAGACUUUCCUCCCAGCUAGAGAGAGAGAGAGAGAGAGAGAGUAGAGUGAGCU